rnacentral:rRNA from 1 species
UCGGCUUAGAGUUUGAUCAUGGCUCUCAUUGAACGCUGGCGGCAGGCCUAACACACGCAAGUCCAGCGGUAGGGAAGCUUGCUUCUCACGAGCGGCGGACGGGUGAGUAAUGUAUGGGGAUCUGCCCGAUAGAGGGGGAUAACUACUGGAAACGGUAGCUAAUACCGCAUAAUCUCUAAGGAGCAAAGCAUUCGUUGCGCUAUCGGAUGAACCCAUAUGGGAUUAGCUAGUUGGUGAGGUAAUGGCUCACCAAGGCGACUAUCCCUAGCUGGUCUGACAGGAUGAUCAGCCACACUGGGACUGAGACACGGCCCAAACUCCUACCGGAGGCACCACUGGGGAAUAUUGCACAAUGGGCGCAAGCCUGAUGCAGCCAUGCCGCGUGUAUGAAGAAUGCCUUAGGGUUGUAAAGUACUUUCAGUUGGGAGGAAGGCGUUGAUUAAUAUCAACGAUUGACGUUACCAACA